rnacentral:rRNA from 1 species
UCCGUAGGUGAACCUGCGGAAGGAUCAUUAAUUAUGUUAAAGCGCCUUACCUUAGGGUUUCCUCUGGGGUAAGUGAUUGCUUCUACACUGUGAAAAUUUGGCUGAGAGACUCAGACUGGUCAUGGGUAGACCUAUCUGGGGUUUGAUCGAUGCCACUCCUGGUUUCAGGAGCACCCUUCAUAAUAAACCUAGAAAUUCAGUAUUAUAAAGUUUAAUAAAAAACAACUUUUAACAAUGGAUCUCUUGGUUCUCGCAUCGAUGAAGAACGUAGCAAAGUGCGAUAACUAGUGUGAAUUGCAUAUUCAGUGAAUCAUCGAGUCUUUGAACGCAGCUUGCACUCUAUGGUUUUUCUAUAGAGUACGCCUGCUUCAGUAUCAUCACAAACCCACACAUAACAUUUGUUUAUGUGGUAAUGGGUCGCAUCGCUGUUUUAUUACAGUGAGCACCUAAAAUGUGUGUGAUUUUCUGUCUGGCUUGCUAGGCAGGAAUAUUACGCUGGUCUCAGGAUCUUUUUCUUUGGUUCGCCCAGGAAGUAAAGUACAAGAGUAUAAUCCAGCAACUUUCAAACUAUGAUCUGAAGUCAGGUGGGAUUACCCGCUGAACUUAAGCAUAUCAAUAAGCGGAGGAAAAGA